rnacentral:rRNA from 1 species
CCCAGACUCCUACGGGAGGCAGCAGUAGGGAAUUUUGCGCAAUGGGCGAAAGCCUGACGCAGCAACACCGCGUGAAUGUUAAGCCCUUCGGGGUGUAAAGUUCUGUCAAUAGGGACGAAUUUUGACUGUACCUAUAAAGGAAGCACCGGCUAACUCCGUGCCAGCAGCCGCGGUAAUACGUAGGGGGCAAGCGUUAUCCGGAAUUACUGGGUGUAAAGGGAGCGCAGACGGCAGUGCAAGUCUGGAGUGAAAGCCCGUGGCUUAACUACGGGACUGCUCUGGAAACUGUGCAGCUAGAGUGCAGGAGAGGCAGGCGGAAUUCCUAGUGUAGCGGUGAAAUGCGUAGAUAUUAGGAGGAACACCGGUGGCGAAGGCGGCCUGCUGGACUGUAACUGACGUUGAGGCUCGAAAGCGUGGGGAGCAAACAGGAUUAGAUACCCUAGUACU